rnacentral:rRNA from 1 species
UACGUAGGGCGCAAGCGUUGUCCGGAAUUAUUGGGCGUAAAGAGCUCGUAGGUGGCUUGUCACGUCUGGUGUGAAAGCUUGGGGCUUAACUCCAGGUCUGCAUUCGAUACGGGCUGGCUAGAGGUAGGUAGGGGAGAACGGAAUUCCUGGUGUAGCGGUGAAAUGCGCAGAUAUCAGGAGGAACACCGGUGGCGAAGGCGGUUCUCUGGGCCUUACCUGACGCUGAGGAGCGAAAGCGUGGGGAGCGAACAGG